rnacentral:rRNA from 1 species
UUGACCUCGAAUCAGGUAGGAAUACCCGCUGAACUUAAGCAUAUCAAUAAGCGGAGGAAAAGAAACCAACAGGGAUUGCCCCAGUAACGGCGAGUGAAGCGGCAACAGCUCAAAUUUGAAAUCUGGCUCUCGGGCCCGAGUUGUAAUUUGUAGAGGAUGCUUUUGGUGAGGUGCCUUCCGAGUUCCCUGGAACGGGACGCCACAGAGGGUGAGAGCCCCGUCUGGUUGGACACCGAGCCUCUGUAAAGCUCCUUCGACGAGUCGAGUAGUUUGGGAAUGCUGCUCUAAAUGGGAGGUAUAUGUCUUCUAAAGCUAAAUACCGGCCAGAGACCGAUAGCGCACAAGUAGAGUGAUCGAAAGAUGAAAAGAACUUUGAAAAGAGAGUUAAACAGUACGUGAAAUUGUUGAAAGGGAAGCGCUUGUGACCAGACUUGGGCUUGGUUGAUCAUCCGGGGUUCUCCCCGGUGCACUCUUCCGGCUCAGGCCAGCAUCAGUUCGCCCUGGGGGAUAAAGGCAGCGGGAAUGUGGCUCUCUCCGGGGAGUGUUAUAGCCCGCUGCGUAAUACCCUGUGGCGGACUGAGGUUCGCGCAUUCGCAAGGAUGCUGGCGUAAUGGUCAUCAGUGAC